CGCAGAGUUACUUUUUGAGCGGAGCCGCGUCACGCGCCAUUGUCCUGUUUUUCCGCUGGUAGCGUCCCGGUACGCAUUCUGUCACCGGCGCCGGUUGGUCAAAGGACGGUGUCGCAGUCCUUUCCUGUUCGGUUUGUGUCAAAGCAUCUUUAACGGAACGGUGAGGAAUCUCACAGGAUAUUCUGGACAGCUUCUUCGCAGUCUGACUGACAAACCACAAUGAUAACGAGGAGGAGACGCACUGUGAACCACACAGCGGUUCAGCCCCUGGAAGUCGAAGUGGUGGAAACUGUCAAAGGUUUCUCCAGUCCGCCUGAGAGUUUCCCCUGUGAUGAUAUGAGCAACGCUGGAUUAGAACUAGAUGACCUGUUUGGAAUUGAAGACUUAAAAUGGACACUUGAAAGAGAAACCGCCUCCUCGCUUUUCGAUAUUGAGUUGGCCAAUCUUGGCUUCAGUGCCAAAGACCAAGAUUCCGAGAUUGAGGCGUCAACGGCAUCCUCUCCAGAUAGAACGUCGUCUGACUCGAGGAUCAAGAAGAGGCAAAGCCAGUCAAGCCACAUGAUCAACAAAAACGCCGUUGCCGCUAGAUUAAAUCGCCUCAGGAAGAAAGAAUAUGUCACCAGUUUGGAGAAGAAAGUUGGCGUCCUGUCGUCAGAAAACAACGUGCUCCGACAUGAAAAUUCUCAACUGACAAAGCGAGUGGAGGAGUUGGAAGAUGAGACCAGGGACCCAACUCAAACGACCACGACUACGCCAUGCCCAGAAAGCGUGCGAAAGUGGAGGAGAAAGAGACAGCGGGUGGCGUGUGUCUGCACGUGGACAAGAACCACGUCUCAGUGGAGUUCUGCACCAAGUGUGCAGAGAGUGCGAGCACAUCGCUCAAAAUGUAGGGUCAAGUACCUUUGUGUUUUCAGAUAUUGGGGCUGAACGUGAUGUGGCUCUUUACCGAACGUUCCUGAGGGUGGAUCAACACCGUUGAAUUAGUUAAGAUACCUAAGAACUGCUGAAUGUGCAUGUGUAAUGCUGGAUUGAGUACACGUUACUGCUAAACCUUGUUGACAGUUUCUUCUAGGUAAUGGUUGAUGCACCAUGCGGGAUGAGUGGCUUUCUGAACACCUUUACCUCCUUGACUCCAUGUGGAUUCUGCUGGGGAAGGUGAAGAGGCUGGACAAGCUGCUGCCAACGUUGCCUGGUAUUUUUUUAAAGGUAGUAUCGGUAACAAAUGGUAUGCGUGAUCAUAUUUCAUUCUCAACAUCUGUAGCUUUUGUCAGCGUAGCAAAUUGAGCUUUUUUGGGGGCUUGACUACAGCUGCUCAAUUCCUCAUGAUGUGAUGAGAUUUACUAGUCUCAUUAUUAUGUCUUGUGUAUAUUGACUUACUGGAAUGUGUACAGCAGAUACAUCCCAAAUUAUCUGAUCGAAGUGGUGAGAAAGCCAUCUUUGUGUAACUAAAUGUAAAUGUGUAUAUAAUUUGAAUACAUAUUGUUUGAGGCAAAUGACCUGAUGUUGGACAAAUAAAUCAUAUUUUCAUUAAGAUUUGAGUAACUAAUAUCUACUGUGUCUUGUUCUGUGCUGUUGAUAUUAAUGCAUCUCUUUUUCUCUUUCUAAACAGCAAGCUCUCUGCCGAUAAUGGUCUUACUUUUCCUGGUCUGGUAAAGGUUUUCAAAACUAAUGACCACAACCUCAUUUGAUGGGUACAAAGCAGUGCGGUAUGCAGGGAGUCCUCGUCCUGCCCAUUCACUUCAAGCCAUAGCAGCAUCCGUCAGUCUCUCUUUAACGCUUUAAAAUAAUAUUUUAUGACGGACCAUUUCCAUUGCCGGCGUUAGAAAAGCUCUGGUGAAUUGGGUAGUGGGAGCUGUGUUCUAGUGUCCAGUUAGCCAGCACAGCCACCCCGUGGCUCCCUAAGUGGAAUGUAUCCAUAGAUAAAGGGAUGGUUCGGAUCUUUGGUUCACGUCACUAAGUGUUUCAUCACCUCAGUAGGUAAACCGGCACAGAAGCAAAGCGUCGUACUGCUGCAGAGAGUUUCCACUUCUCCUUUUUCAAAGCCACCAUUGCCAAACUAGUCCAUCUUUCUCUGGGAACACGAGCGCUGCUCAGACAGCCGUUGUAACACAAUGAGAAGUAGUUCGUGCAAAUGCACUUUCUAAAAAUCUGAACUAUCACUUAAGUAAUAUUUUUAAGUUUUCCUACUGCCCAAGAACAAAGUGGAUUAUAUGUGCUGGGGGGCUUUCAUGGGCCUGGACCGGUCUGACAAACCGUUACGCGUGUCCUACCUCACACCAGAGGGGACGCAAACCGGCGCACCAACCACAUCUGCUCAACGGAUCAUUUAAUGACUGCAGGGAGGGAAAAGGGCCAAACCACAACGUGUUUAAAAGGGAACCAGUGGCAUCCAGUGUGCCGUAGACGAGCUGAGCAGGACGGACUAACAAAGCCGUGGACUGUUGUGAGCGUGUUAGUCCAGCAGGUCUGUGCUUUAGUUACAGUGACGCUCCAGCCACGGAGCUGCGUUUCAUUACCAGCACACGCGUGUUGUGUAUUGACAGACGUGUUGGAGCAGUCAGGAGGGACGGGAUCGGUCAUAAGAGGUGCUGCCUCUCACUUUUGUACUUAAUUAACCUUCCAUAAUGUCUGCUAAACUUUUGACUGGUGCGUCAUCUUGUCAGAUCUGUACGUUUGAGCUUUAGCUCGACCCUGUUAACUAUUUAUCUUUUUAAAAAUCAAGGAGUUGUAACAAAUUGUACUUUUGACCAUUGGGACAUUUUAAGUGCGUUCAUGUUCAGCAUGUUAAGACUUAUGACGAUUACCGUAUUUUCCGCACUAUACGGCGCACCUUCAAAGAAUGACCUAUUUAAAACAUUUUCAUUUUCAGUUGCAUCGCGUGCAGCACGUGACCGCUCGCGCAAGAAGGUGGAACAAGGGAGACCCCAUUUCCAAGACUUAAGGGCGGAAUAACUAGUUUGUGAAAGACUCAAACACACAUUUUGUAGUUUACCAGUCGUACCGAAACAUAUUUAUUAUUAUUGGUUUUUCAUACUGAAACAUUUUGACAGCCGUGUACAACCAGUGUGGAUCAACCAAUUGAUCCACAUACAAGGCGCUCGGGAUUAUAAGACGCACGGUCGUUUUUUGAGAAAAUUAAAGGCUUUUAAGAGCGGGAAAAAAAGCGGUGUAUAGAACAGCCUGAUGUUUUCUGUUUUAGUUGACAAACACUCACCGGACACGUCACUAGGUGCACCGUACUAGUGAGAGUUUGGACCCCUUUUGCCUUCAGCACUGCCUUGGUUCCUCCUGGCAUACUUUCACUUUCACACAUGUUGGUCCGUACUGACAUGGUGGCGUCACGCAGCUGCUGAAGCUCCCGUUGCAGCACGUCCCAGAGGUCUAUUGGCUUGAGAUGUGGUGUCGCUCACUUAAAUGUUCUCUAUUUGGGCCUUUCUGUGUAGAUGAGCAGUCAGUGACGUGCUCCAACAAUCCACGUUAAGGUCACGUGAUGCCCUUUCUACCCCGUUGUCAUGCUCGCGUUGUACCUCCGUUCUCUUCCCCACGUCUACGCGCACAAACGCAUUGAGUUGCUGCCAUUGCUGAUUAGCAAACAAUUUAGCAGGUGUACCUACUAAAGUGGCCUGUGGUGUGUACAUGAAUAGACAUAUAUCUGGUAGUGAAGUAUUGUGGUAAUAUUGGUAUAAAGGUAAAUACAACAGUUAAUGCGCACGUGAAAUCAAGAAAAAUGACUCGUCCAACUGAUUUAAAACAUACAAGAGGUUCCAUCCAUCCAGCACACGCUGUGUCCCGUCUCCCUGAUGGUCCCCAGAGGGCUUUACAGUGUGCACACGGCCGCCGUCCCUGAACCGCGUGUCAUUAAAUGAACGCGCUGUUUGUUCUGGCGUCCUGACUCACGGACGGGUUUCACCUGAAGACUGAACACCUGCUGGGCCUCAUCGCUUACCUUGUUCUGAGAACACGAAGGAGGCCGCGGGGUCCUGGUGCUGGACUCAGAAGGUAAAGCAUUGAAAGGAUUCCAAACGCCGCCUGCACUCACUUACUUUCCUGGUUAGAACUAAAGAAAAGACUAAGAGCACGACGGCCGCGAUUUACAUCAGUGUUUUUAAGAAUUUCAAGCAUCAAAGCUUUUUGUCAAAGCUGAUUCCUUAAUGCACUUUGUUCAAAAG